GUGAGAGUGGACAUCUCCAUCUUGUUCUUGAUUUUAGAGUAUAAUGUACUGAAGGUCCAUCCAUGUUGUUGCAAGUGGCAGGAUAUUCUCCUUUCUCAAGAACACUCUGGCAAGCUGACCUGGGCAACGUGGACCAACCCUUUUACACAGACUACUAUGGAAAUGGAGUGGAGUAUGGGUCCUGCUUUGCCUACGUGGUCCCUCAGUGUGAAGACUGAAGGCUGAGUUCUUAUCGUCGAGAAGGAAGGCUGAUUCAUUCCAUCCCUCCAGAGCCGGAAGACUUACAAGAAGAUCUGGUGUAGAAAGACAGUGCCUGGUACCAGGCUGGCUUAGUCCUGUACCAGGGCUGGUGCCAUGUGGGAGAGGAGGCAGGAGGUGAGGAGAGGGGCUGGAUCUCAGCUCCAGUCUCCUUACCCCUCUCACCUCCUACUACAGGGUGUCUCUACCCUUCAGCCCAUUAGUGUUCACAGAUCUGACCAGUCCAUGGAGAUUCCUUCUUCCUGGGCAAGUGAGGAAGAAGGUGGCAUGGGGAAAGGGACCUUGAAUAUUAAUUAAUUAAUUCAAGGCAACAUAUUAAUUAAUUAAAUUAAAAAUUGCAAUGAACAUCUCACAUGGGUCAAACAUUCCUCACAGUUGCCAUAUCAGAACUGGGGGCAAAUAGGAAAUACUAAUGACAUA